UACGGGGGGAGCAAGCGUUGUUCGGAUUUACUGGGCGUAAAGGGCGCGUAGGCGGCCACUGCAAGUCGGUUGUGAAAUCUCCGGGCUUAACCCGGAAAGGUCAAUCGAUACUGCAGGGCUAGAGUGCGGAAGGGGCAACUGGAAUUCUCGGUGUAGCGGUGAAAUGCGCAGAUAUCAGGAGGAACACCGGUGGCGAAGGCGGGUCUCUGGGCCGUAACUGACGCUGAGGAGCGAAAAGCAUGGGGGAGCGAACAGG
rnacentral:rRNA from 1 species